UACGAAGGGGGCUAGCGUUGCUCGGAACCACUGGGCGUAAAGCGCACGUAGGCGGACUGUUAAGUCGGUGGUGAAAUCCUGGAGCUCAACUCCAGAACUGCCUUUGAUACUGAGGAUCUUGAGUUCGGGAGAGGUGAGUGGAACUGCGAGUGUAGAGGUGAAAUUCGUAGAUAUUCGCAAGAACACCAGUGGCGAAGGCGGCUCACUGGCCCGAUACUGACGCUGAGGCACGAAAGCGUGGGGAGCAAACAGG
rnacentral:rRNA from 1 species